rnacentral:rRNA from 1 species
UUUUAUGGAGAGUUUGAUCCUGGCUCAGGAUGAACGCUGGCGGCGUGCCUAAUACAUGCAAGUCGAGCGAACGGACGAGAAGCUUGCUUCUCUGAUGUUAGCGGCGGACGGGUGAGUAACACGUGGAUAACCUACCUAUAAGACUGGGAUAACUUCGGGAAACCGGAGCUAAUACCGGAUAAUAUUUUGAACCGCAUGGUUCAAAAGUGAA